UUGCUGCUACUUUCAUUCAUUCUAUUCUUGGCAUUUUGUAAUACUUUGGUUUAUAUCCCGUUAUUUUAAUGUUGUAUAGGGAAACUAGACUCUGGAACAUGCAAAGCUCAAAGCUAGGGUGGAGAUUUUACAGAGAAAUCAAAGUCAUUUUAUGGGGGAAGACCUCCAAUCCUUGAAUAUGAAAGAGCUUCAGAAUUUGGAGCAGCUACUUGAUUCUGCUCUGAAGCACAUAAGCUUUGUAGUUGGUGAUGGCUUCCAUAGUUCCAUUGCUGUGAUUGAGCUUUCAAUUUUUGGUUUGGUUACAUUGAGCAGGAAAAGAGGCUAGAAGAGGAAGAUGCAGAAGCACAGUUAAAUAUGGAGCUCACUAAAGGGGCUGCUCAUGCUAAAAUGGCUAGAAACUUACGCAACAAGUUGAUGUCCAUCACAUUCAAGAGCAAAUGAGGUCCUCCCCAGCACAGAAGAAGCCUCACAAGCUAAGAACUAGCCACGUGUAAUUUGUUUAAAAACAUCAUCUUUGGUUAGGAACUUA